AUUGAACGCUGGCGGCAGGCCUAACACAUGCAAGUCGAGCGGAUGAAGGGAGCUUGCUCCUGGAUUCAGCGGCGGACGGGUGAGUAAUGCCUAGGAAUCUGCCUGGUAGUGGGGGAUAACGUCCGGAAACGGGCGCUAAUACCGCAUACGUCCUGAGGGAGAAAGUGGGGGAUCUUCGGACCUCACGCUAUCAGAUGAGCCUAGGUCGGAUUAGCUAGUUGGUGGGGUAAAGGCCUACCAAGGCGACGAUCCGUAACUGGUCUGAGAGGAUGAUCAGUCACAUGGAAACUGAGACGGGGACAAGCCCCCUCGGGGAGGCAGCAGGGGGGAAUUUUGGAAAAGGGGCAAAGGCCUGAUCCCGCCAUCCCGCGUGGGGAAAGAAGGUCUUCGGAUUGUAAACCUGUUUAAGUUGGGAGAAAGGACAAGAAGUUAAUCCCUUGUUUUUUGGACUUUCCAAAAAAAAAAGACCCCGGCUACCUUCGUC
rnacentral:rRNA from 1 species